rnacentral:tRNA from 1 species
GCUCAGUUGGUUAAGCGUCUGACUUUGGCUCAGGUCAUGAUCUCGUGGUUUGUGGGUUCGAACCCCGCAUUGGGCU